rnacentral:lncRNA from 1 species
AGUGCAGUCGAUUCCACCAACUAGAAGACGGAUGAAGGAUUCUCCAACCUCCUUCGAUAAUCACAUGUAAACAAAACACAGAACAUCCAUCCGUAAUAUCAUCCAUCCACUCACCCAUCCAUCCAACGUUCACGACAUUGAGAACGUGAAGCUGAGUAACAGAGCACGAGAGCGUGUGCCCAGUGCAGGGAACGUCAGAAGAACCCUGGCGGAAGCUUCUAGCUAG